GACACUCUGCGCCCAAACACACUAACGUGCCGCUCCGGUAUGAAGAAGACCUGCUUUUAUUCCGAUGGAAUAUUCAUAAAAGCGAAUUGCGUACCAAACCGAGUAUCGUGCGAGUACCCUUGGCGACCAAGAUGCAAUCUCCCUAUGAUAGUUUCUUGCCAUUGGACUACUAGACAUUGUGCCUGCAGUUGUGUUCAUAGAACGACGAUCCAGCCGCCAGCUAGGCAGCGUCUCAGGUAACAGGAAACACGAAAACACCGGGGGAAGGCAACAUUGCUUGUGCCAUGUAAGGGUAGCGAGAACCACAACAAUCGUUGUUCGGGACAUUACAUGGAACACUGGUUAUUCACAA